UUGUAAGUGUCUAAGGGCGCAUGGUGGAUGCCUUGGCAUCGAGAGCCGAUGAAGGACGUGGGAGGCUGCGAUAUGCCUCGGGGAGCUGUCAACCGAGCGUGGAUCCGAGGAUUUCCGAAUGGGGAAACCCAGCACGAGUGAUGUCGUGCUACCCGCAUCUGAAUAUAUAGGGUGCGGGAGGGAACGCGGGGAAGUGAAACAUCUCAGUACCCGUAGGAGGAGAAAACAAUUGUGAUUCCGCAAGUAGUGGCGAGCGAACGCGGAACAGGCUAAACCGCACGCAUGGGUAACCGGGUAGGGGUUGUGUGUGCGGGGUUGUGGGAGGAUAUGUCUCAGCGCUACCCGGCUGAGAGGCAGUCAGAAAGUGUCGUGGUUAGCGGAAGUGGCCUGGGAUGGUCUGCCGUAGACGGUGAGAGCCCGGUACGCGAAAACCCGGCACCUGCCUAGUAUCAAUUCCCGAGUAGCAGCGGGCCCGUGGAAUCCGCUGUGAAUCCGCCGGGACCACCCGGUAAGCCUAAAUACUCCUCGAUGACCGAUAGCGGAUUAGUACCGUGAGGGAAUGGUGAAAAGUACCCCGGGAGGGGAGUGAAAGAGUACCUGAAACCGUGUGCCUACAAUCCGUCAGAGCCUCCUUUUCCUCUCCGGAGGAGGGUGGUGAUGGCGUGCCUUUUGAAGAAUGAGCCUGCGAGUCAGGGACAUGUCGCAAGGUUAACCCGUGUGGGGUAGCCGCAGCGAAAGCGAGUCUGAAUAGGGCGACCCACACGCGCAUACGCGCGUGUGAAUAGUGGCGUGUUCUGGACCCGAAGCGGAGUGAUCUACCCAUGGCCAGGGUGAAGCGCGGGUAAGACCGCGUGGAGGCCCGAACCCACUUAGGUUGAAGACUGAGGGGAUGAGCUGUGGGUAGGGGUGAAAGGCCAAUCAAACUCCGUGAUAGCUGGUUCUCCCCGAAAUGCAUUUAGGUGCAGCGUUGCGUGGUUCACCGCGGAGGUAGAGCUACUGGAUGGCCGAUGGGCCCUACUAGGUUACUGACGUCAGCCAAACUCCGAAUGCCGUGGUGUAAAGCGUGGCAGUGAGACGGCGGGGGAUAAGCUCCGUACGUCGAAAGGGAAACAGCCCAGAUCGCCGGCUAAGGCCCCCAAGCGUGUGCUAAGUGGGAAAGGAUGUGCAGUCGCAAAGACAACCAGGAGGUUGGCUUAGAAGCAGCCACCCUUGAAAGAGUGCGUAAUAGCUCACUGGUCAAGUGAUUGUGCGCCGAUAAUGUAGCGGGGCUCAAGCACACCGCCGAAGCCGCGGCACAUCCACCUUGUGGUGGGUGUGGGUAGGGGAGCGUCCCUCAUUCAGCGAAGCCACAGGGUGACCGGUGGUGGAGGAUGGGGG
rnacentral:rRNA from 1 species